rnacentral:rRNA from 1 species
AGGACGAACGCUGGCGGCGUGCUUAACACAUGCAAGUCGAGCGGAAAGGCCCUUCGGGGUACUCGAGCGGCGAACGGGUGAGUAACACGUGAGUAAUCUGCCCCUAGCUCUGGGAUAGCUCCGGGAAACCGGGAUUAAUACCGGAUACGACCACUUUAGACAUCUGUUGUGGUUGAAAGAAUUUCGGCUAGGGAUGAACUCGCGGCCUAUCAGCUUGUUGGUGAGGUAACGGCCCACCAAGGCGACGACGGGUAGCCGGCCUGAGAGGGCGACCGGCCACACUGGGACUGAGACACGGCCCAGACUCCUACGGGAGGCAGCAGUGGGAAUAUUGCGCAAUGGGCGAAAGCCUGACGCAGCGACGCCGCGUGGGGGAUGAAGGCCUUCGGGUUGUAAACCCCUUUCAGCAGGGACGAAGCGAAAGUGACGGUACCUGCAGAAGAAGCGCCGGCUAACUACGCGCCAGCAGCCGC